rnacentral:rRNA from 1 species
AUACGGAGGAUGCAAGCGUUAUCCGGAUUUAUUGGGUUUAAAGGGUGCGUAGGCGGGACUGUAAGUCAGGGGUGAAAUACUGCAGCUUAACUGUAGCAUUGCCUUUGAAACUGUGGUUCUUGAGUACAGUUGAGGUAGGCGGAAUGUGGUGUGUAGCGGUGAAAUGCAUAGAUAUACCACAGAACGCCGAUUGCGAAGGCAGCUUACUAAGCUGUUACUGACGCUGAGGCACGAAAGCGUGGGGAUCAAACAGGAUUAGAUACCCUGGUAGUCCACGCUGUAAACGAUGAUUACUGGUUGUUAGCGAUAUAUAGCUAGUGACUGAGCGAAAGCAUUAAGUAAUCCACCUGGGGAGUACGUCGGCAACGAUGAAACUCAAAUGAAUUGACGGGG